CGUGGGGACUGGGUUUUCACACCGUCGUGUAGGAGGUCCCUCCCUCCAACCUUGUCAUGACGUGCACUGCCCAUGUGA
rnacentral:snoRNA from 1 species